rnacentral:tRNA from 1 species
GGCUCCGUGGCUUAAUGGUUACGGCCUCUGUCUCACAGGCAGAAGGUUCAGGGAUCAAAUCCCGGUCGGUACCU